AUUGAACGCUGGCGGCAUGCCUUACACAUGCAAGUCGAACGGCAGCACGGGGCAACCUGGUGGCGAGUGGCGAACGGGUGAGUAAUGCAUCGGAACGUGCCAUUGAGUGGGGGAUAACGUAGCGAAAGUUGCGCUAAUACCGCAUAUUCUGUGAGCAGGAAAGCAGGGGACCGCAAGGCCUUGCGCUCUUUGAGCGGCCGAUGUCAGAUUAGCUAGUUGGUGAGGUAACGGCUUACCAAGGCGACGAUCUGUAGCGGGUCUGAGAGGAUGAUCCGCCACACUGGAACUGAGACACGGUCCAGACUCCUACGGGAGGCAGCAGUGGGGAAUUUUGGACAAUGGGCGGCAAGCCUGAUCCAGCCAUGCCGCGUGAGUGAAG
rnacentral:rRNA from 1 species